rnacentral:lncRNA from 12 species
UGCGGCCCGGCGUCCGCUAUGCCCGCUGAUCAGGAGACAGGUCCACAGGCUGCCUCCCUUUGGUGGAGGGAGCAACCGCGUUGCAUCAGACGUGCGCAGAGUGAAGAGCCCUCCCGGACAGGCCCGACCUGCACCCGAGCCAGGAUGGGUGCGGUCCCCGGCCCCCUCAGUUCCUGGAGCCACCGUUGUGCGCCCCGGGGCUGGGUGCAGGAGGCCCCCCCUCCGGGGGCCACUCGGUGCAUGGAGGCACCUGGGCAGCGCGGGGACAUGCCAGCUGCAGGGGGGGGGGGGGCUUGUGAUGCGGCUGCAGGCUCGGCUGCGGGGGGAGCAGCACCCCCACGCUACUCGGGGGGAGCCGGCAGGGAGGACGGCGGCUUCUAGGGCCGGGCGCCAGCGGCUGCAGGACGACAGUGAGGCCGACGGGCCCUGGGCAUGGGGAGCGGCCCGGGGCCACCCUGCGGGCUGCAGGCCCCGAGGGGACAGUGUGCCUCGGCCUCGCCGCCCGCAGGCCCGCAGGGAGCCGUCGCUGUCCUUCCGUCCCCAAGCCUCUCCCCAGCCCGUGGGCCACCCGCCGCCCGGCAAAGCCACGGCGGCCCUCCAGCCCCGCAAAGACACGAACCUUGGGGACACCAGUGGCUGCUAGCUCAAAAGCGAGCGCUGAGAAACAACUGAUGGGAACAAAGGCCCAACAGGCUGCAGUGGCCAAGGGAGAGGGCCCUGUGUUCAUGGCGCGUCUCCCGUUCAGGGAGGAGACAGGAUUGGGACAGAAAGGACCAAAGGGGGCGAAGGAAUUUCCAGGCAGCGCCCAGAUGAAUGCCCGAGGCCCAUGGAGGCCGGAGCACCUGCUUCAGGCCCUUGACCCACCAGUUGCCCUGCGCCUAGCUGUCCUUGGGGACCUGUGACACCUGCGGCGGGACCCUGGGAGCCACAGCAAGGGCUUCCCAGCCACCGAGUGGCAUAUUCCGGCGGCUGGUGCCAGCUGCCGGGGCGCAUGCUGAGCCGAGCGCUGCUGAGCUCGCUUCGACCCCGGCACGCGCGAUCGAGCACCCCUGGGCCACGAAGGCUCCGGCUCUCCUCUCUGACACCAGCCCGCAGACAGUGCAGUCAGAUACCUGCAGGGGGAUGAAGCCAGUCCGUCAGUCCUCUCCGACCUCCAAGUCCCGAGGCCCCCUUUGACAAUAGGGAGGACCUCACAGUAACAGUACUGACAACCCUAACAGCAGUUACUGGCUGCUGAGAGAAUUGCACUAGACAUCAGACGCAGAAUUAGUGCAGCUCACAAAUGCACGGGCCGGGGCACCUGGUUGGCUCAGUGGGUAGAGCACUGGACUCAGGAUCUUGGGAUCAUGAGUUCAAGCCCCACAUGAGGUACAGAGCCUACUUUUAAAAAAGUAUUUUAAAAAUGUGCACGAGCUGAUGUACACGUCCCCUCUAAAUUAGAUGUUUGUCUCAGUCAAUACAAGUAGACCAGAUAAGGAUUUCUUCCUUCUUCAGGGGAUCUUCCUGCUACAACCUCGAAAAAUCAUUCAGAUUUAAACACUUCAGAUUUUUUGAACCGCCAGUUGGGUUGGUGUGAUAAAAAUAGCUUUGCAGAACCUGUGUGCAAACUCCAGAGGUUGCAUAUAUAAAACUACUCAGUGGCCCAGUGGUUGAGCACCUGCCUUUGGCUCAGAUCGUGAUUGAGCUAACAUCAUUGAAAACAGAAACUUGUUUGACAAAGUAAGCCUGAAUUUUCCUUUCAAAUUGUACUUCCUUGCUGGAUCUGGAUGCUUUUAGGAAUUAACUUCACUUAAUACAACUGUAACCUUCUAGGCAGUGGGCAUUCCUAAAAUAGCAAUUCAGUAGAUCCUCUGGCAAAAAUAAACAAACCGGAAAAAAAACCCGUCA